rnacentral:rRNA from 1 species
UCGAGGAUCUUUUGCAAUGUACGAAAGUGUGACAAAGCGACGCUGCGUGGAGGAUGAAGGCCUUCGGGUUGUAAACUCCUGUCAUUCGGGAAAAAUAACCCCGUAAUGAAUAGUUACGGGGAUUGAUGGUACCGGAAGAGGAAGCCACGGCUAACUCUGUGCCAGCAGCCGCGGUAAUACAGAGGUGGCGAGCGUUGUUCGGAUUUACUGGGCGUAAAGGGCGCGUAGGCGGUUCUGUGUGUCGGACGUGAAAGCCCACUGCUUAACGGUGGAAGUGCAUUCGAAACUACAGAACUUGAGUGCAGGAGGGGAGAGUGGAAUUCUUGGUGUAGCGGUGAAAUGCGUUGAUAUCAAGAGGAACACCGGUGGCGAAGGCGACUCUCUGGAAUGCAACUGACGCUGAGGCGCGAAAGUUAGGGGAGCAAACAGG